rnacentral:rRNA from 1 species
AACGAACGUUGGCGGCGUGGAUUAGGCAUGCAAGUCGUACGCGAAAGAGGGGGCGAACUCCUCGAGUAAAGUAGGCGAACGGGUAGAGUAACGCGUAGGAAACCUGCCUUCGAGAUGGGGAGUAACGCUCCUAACGGGUGGCUAAUACCGAAUGACACUGCGGGAUCGCAUGGUUCUGCAGUCAAAGGUAGGCCUCUGCUUGCAAGCUACCACUCAAAG